AAGACACUAGUAAAGAGGAAUUACACUGCCUUGUCGAGGCAGAAUCGUGGGUUAGACCCCCGCGUGUCUUG
rnacentral:tRNA from 1 species